UACGGGGGGGGCAAGCGUUGUUCGGAAUUACUGGGCGUAAAGGGCUCGUAGGCGGCCAACUAAGUCAGACGUGAAAUCCCUCGGCUUAACCGGGGAACUGCAUCUGAUACUGGGAGGCUAGAGUGCGGGAGAGGGAUGCGGAAUUCCAGGUGUAGCGGUGAAAUGCGUAGAUAUCUGGAGGAACACCGGUGGCGAAGGCGGCAUCCUGGACCGACACUGACGCUGAGGCGCGAAAGCUAGGGUAGCAAACGGG
rnacentral:rRNA from 1 species